rnacentral:rRNA from 1 species
GUGGGGAAUCUUGCACAAUGGGCGAAAGCCUGAUGCAGCAACGCCGCGUGAGCGAAGAAGGCCUUUGGGUCGUAAAGCUCUGUCGGUAGGGAAGAAGGAAGUGACGGUACCUACCGAGGAAGCCCCGGCUAACUACGUGCCAGCAGCCGCGGUAAUACGUAGGGGGCGAGCGUUAUCCGGAAUUAUUGGGCGUAAAGAGUACGUAGGCGGUUUUUUAAGCGAGGGGUAUAAGGCAGCGGCUUAACUGCUGUUGGCCCCUCGAACUGGAGGACUUGAGUGUCGGAGAGGAAAGCGGAAUUCCUAGUGUAGCGGUGAAAUGCGUAGAGAUUAGGAGGAACACCAGUGGCGAAGGCGGCUUUCUGGACGACAACUGACGCUGAGGUACGAAAGCGUGGGGAGCAAACAGGAUUAGAAACCCCAGUAGUCC